rnacentral:rRNA from 1 species
AAGCGUUGUUCGGAAUUACUGGGCGUAAAGGGUGCGUAGGCGGCUUUCUAAGUUGGAUGUGAAAACUAUGGGCUCAACCCAUAGCCUGCAUCCAAAACUGGAGAGCUUGGGUUCUGGAGGGGAAAGCGGAAUUCCUGGUGUAGCGGUGAAAUGCGUAGAUAUCAGGAGGAACACCGGUGGCGAAGGCGGCUUUCUGGACAGAUACCGACGCUGAGGCACGAAAGCUAGGGGAGCAAACAGG